rnacentral:misc_RNA from 1 species
CCGGAAGAGAAUCGUGUCAUCUUUUCGCAGGGUCGUUCUUAGUAGUGAUUUAUAUCUACUUGGUUUCUGUGUAAUUCAACUGUUUGAUAGAGGUGAUAAGAAUCGAAUAAAAGGGCCAUGGCGGGUGGAAAUUUCAUGCACAGAGUAAUAUCUUAUGUCGUUAAUGAGCUUGUCGUCAAUGGUCUAGCUAACAGUCCUGCAUUUCAGAGGUUUGCAGUGAGAACAUCUAGGAAGAUCGAGGAUAUUUCAAACAUUGCUGAGAAAAAAAGGCAAGAACUUGCUGAGCAGAUGAAAGAUUUCUCCAAGAACAUGGAGUCCUUCAAGAACCAGAGGUGAUCGGUUGGUCAUUAUAUUUGAUAACAUAUGUUCCCUACUAUAAUGGCAGCUGGAAACUAGAAGAGUUUGUAAUUAAGAAAUUGCACGGACAAUGAUAGUUGUUAACUUGAUGAAUUUUUAAACCUCAAAGUAAAAAUUUUUAUUUUAUAAAU